AAAAUUUUCUCGAUUCCCCACUCAAAGUUUUAUCUCUUGUAUUCCCCGGUGGAGCUUGUCUUCUGAUAGAAGUUCCCUCAUUUCCGGUAGUGUUUGGUUAUGAGCAGUAUUGAUUUUUUCCCCUGCAAGGUUGUCUCCCAUUCGAUAUGGUGUUGACUUAAAAUUCCCUGUAGUGUUGACUUGUUUGGAUCCUCGACAGAUUCUUCUUUAUCCUUGGCAUGUUUG
rnacentral:lncRNA from 1 species